ensembl:lncRNA
UGUUUCAAGACGCACUCGUGAUGUGGACACGCCAGAGCGUCUUUAACUUUAAUCGAAAUGCCACGGACGUGAAAGUCAUCAGGCUGUCACGGAUCUGCGCGUGGCCAUGACCGGCAUGAUAAAGAACCGGACGGCUUUUCUGCGAGGAAAACGGCUAAUGGGCGAAAGAUGAGGAGAAAAACAAUAGCAAAGCGCAUCCUGUACAAUGGAUACGAAGAGACACCCGAAGAAACCGGCGCGAGGGCGAACCACGUCCUCAGUCAAGAGCCGGCGAAGAGGAGAAAAUGGAGAGAACUAAAUGGAGAGGACAUCUCAUCUCGUAAUGCUGACUAUAUUAAGUUCAAAACAAAGGUGCUCGGAAGCCUCCAAUCACGUUCAAGGGCGGAGCUUAUUGCCAUGGUGUUGAGUAUGCAGAGGGAGAUGGACGGCCUUCGAGAGCAAAUCAGAAGCCUUACAGCUUGUGGGAAGUUGGCUCAGACACUUGAAGAGCUGAUCGAGAAGAGUGAUAGAUGGCUGUGCGGCAGCCACGAAGCUGCAACUCCCAGCAUUCCAGAGGAGCGCGAGGGAAGCAGGCCACCCAGUCACAUUUCUCUUCCAAGGGUGCUUAGUGGAAGAACAGCUGAAUGUGCAAGUUCAGAGCAGCAGGGGUGUGGUCAGUAUGAGGUCACACAAACAAUGCCUCAACGGAAUGGAACGAUUCCCGAACAAAAAGUUAUCACUGCUGAUCUCCUGGAGCGCUGCAACACAGGGACCACUGCUCAGAAACUCACCAAUGACCUGCUGCGCAGCCUCUAUGACAGAGACUGUCUGGCCUCUCACUCAAUCUCAGGCAUCAUCAACAGCAAGAGAGGGAUGCCUAAGCCAGCUCUUCCAGCACAUGAGAUCCAGGCCAUUCUGAGGACAGUGCAGCGGUUCUUCCCCGGAAAGACUGAUUCGGAAAUAAAGUGCUACAUACGACAGAAGCUUCAGAAUGAGGCCAAGAGGCUUCGGAAAAGACCACACCCAGCUGAUGAUCCAGUGAUGGGCUCAUUUGAGAAGGAGAAAGCAAUGUUUGAGCACUGAGCGUUAACUAUCAUUGGACAUCCCCAGCAUAUUUAGUUGAAGAAUUUUACUGACACAAAAUUCUGUUAUUAACCUUAAAGGGAUAGUUCCGAAAAAGUUCUGUCAUCAUUUACUUAAUUUUCAUUUAUUGUGAUUUGAAACGACACGAGGGUGAGUAAAUUAUGACAGAAUUUUCAUUUUUGAGUAAGGCUGCAUGAUUCAUCAAAAUAAAAACAAAACCGGCUUAGCGUGAUUAUCA